rnacentral:sRNA from 1 species
GUGAUCUAGAUCACCGUCAUACGAUCGGUCUCACGACGGGUUCGGGAGUGACUUAUCCGAAGAGUCGGCAAGGGAUGAAAG